CAACAGCUGGUGCAACGACGUAACGGUGAUCCUAAAACACUGUUCUCCUGAUCUGGAAACUUUCUUCACCAACUGCAAACCCUUUUAUUCCCCCCGUGAGAUUCGCUUGAUUCAUGGUCCAUCUGAUUCCUGCAUACAGGCAGAAACUAAAGCUCUGCAAACCUGUGGUGAGGGAAUUCAAGAAGUGGACCAGUAAGGCGCUGGAGGAUCUUCGGGGGUUCUUUGACUGCACAGACUGGGAUGUUUUCAGGACUGCUAUUGACAGUCUGGAUGAGUUCACAGAGGCUGUAACUUCCUACAUCGGCUUCUGUAAGGACAGCUAUAUAACAUCAUGCACCAGGGUGAGUUACAACAACGACAAACCCUGGUUCACAGCGGAACUCAGAACACUACGCCUGCAGAAGGAUCAGGCAUCUAGGAGUGGGGACAAAGAUCGGUACACAGAGUCAAAAUACAAGUUUAGCAAGACGAAAUUCCAACAACAGUUCUCAGCAAGUGACUCUGCUUCGGUUUGGAGAGGCCUCAAACACCUCACCAACUACAAGCCAAAAACCCCCCACUCCAUGAAUGACCUCCGCCUGGCAGACGAGCUGAAUGAGUUCUACUGCAGAUUUGAAAGACAAUGUCCUGAUCCCAUCCCCCACAGCUCCACCAACCUGCUGCAGUCCCCCACCCCUCCCUCCCCCAGCCCAUCAGGUGCUCACGCCUCUACAUCUAUAUCACCUUCUCCUCCCCCACCAGCAACGACCCUCUCUAUUCUGUAGAGAGACGUUAACCGGCUCUUUAAAAGACAAAAUCCCCGUAAGGCAGGCGGUCCGGACUCCGUUUCCCCUCAUACACUGAAGCAUUUUGCUGACCAGCUGUCUCCGGUGUUCACUGACAACACCUCCCUGGAGGCAUGCCAUGUACCAGCCUGCUUCAAGGCCUCCACCAUCAUCCCUGUUUCCAAGAAGCCCAGGAUCACAGAACUCGAUGACUACAGGCCUAUCGCCCUGACCUCUGUAGUCAUGAAGUCUUUUGAACGGCUAGUCCUGACCCACCUGAAGUCCCUCACUGACCCCCUCCUGGACCUCCUGCAGUUCGCCUACAGAGCCAACAGGUCUGUGGACGAUUCUGUCAACAUGGCCCUCCACUACAUCCUCCAGCAUCUGGACUCCCCAGGAACCUACGCCAGGAUCCUGUUUGUGGACUUCAGCUCUGCCAUCAACACCAUCAUCCCGUCCCUGCUGCAGGACAAACUCUCCCAGCUGCACGUGGCCGACUCCACCUGCAAUUGGAUUAUAGACUUCCUGUCUGACAGGAAAUAGCACGUGAAGCUGGGGAAACAUGUCUUAGCCUCUCGGACCAUCAGCACCGGUUCCCCUCAAGGCUGCGUUCUUUCCCCUCUGCUCUUCUCCCUGUACACCAACAGCUGCACCUCCAGUCACCAGUCCGUCAAGCUCCUGACGUUUGCGGAUGACACCACCCUCAUUGGACUGAUCUCUGGUGGGGAUGAGUCCGCCUACAGGUGGGAGUCUGACCAUCUGGUGUCCUGGUGCAGUCAGAACAACCUGGAGCUCAACGCUCUAAAGACAGUGGAGAUGGUUGUGGAUUUCCGGAGGAACAGAGCCCCACCUUCCCCCAUUACCCUGUGUGAC
ensembl:lncRNA